GGAUGCGAUCAUACCAGCACUAAAGCACCAGUUCCCAUCAGAACUCUGAAGUUAAGCGUGCUUGGGCGAGAGUAGUACUAGGAUGGGUGACCUCCUGGGAAGUCCUCGUGUUGCAUUCC
rnacentral:rRNA from 1 species